UAGAGUGUGGCUCAGUGGAAGAGUGCUUGCCCCGCAUGCUUGAGGCCCUGGGUUCAAUUCCCAGCGCUGCAA
rnacentral:tRNA from 1 species